AAAGACAGAGGCAUGUUAUGGAGGAAAACAAAAACAACAAAAGUUUACCAGCUUAAUUUGCUACAGAUAACUUUCUAAGAAAUCUUGUUUACAAGUGACCCUUGGGCUUUUUGCCUGUCUUAUAUUAGUGAAAAUACUACGCCUGGAUGUCCCUACCAUCCCAAGACCGUGUUGAAGUUACAGUGUAGCAAAUAGUUAAUAUAAUAGGUGGAAUGUCUGUACUGUAAGUCUCUCUUGUUCCAUGUACUCUGCUUUUAAACCAGAAUAGACUGAAGUCAUACUGAGAAUUGUUUUUUUUUAAUGAUAGUGUAGGGCAUGUCCAAUGCCACCUUCUUUGAUUUGGAUAUUAGUUACUUUUGACUACGUAGGAUUGGUGACAAGCUGGAGGAGUUUUGUAGGAGCUGAUGAAUACGAUUCUCCUAUCUGAAUGAAACUGUGCUUUUAAUGUUAGGAAAUUACUCAGUAAUCAUAAAGAUCUUAACUUCAGCAGUACUGUAGCACCAGGAGUACUACAUUCACCUCUGGGACCACCAGCAACACAGAUCUGUUGGACUGGGUCCAAAAGAGGGUCAUGAGGAUGAUCAGAGGGCUGGAGCAACUCUUCUGUAAGGAGAGGCUAAGAGAGCUGGGGUUGUUCAGUACAGAGAAAAGGCUCACUGUGGUUUUCCAGUACCUAAAGGGGGCCUACAGAAUAGAUGGGGAUGGACUCUUUAUAAGAGAGUGUAGUGAUAGGACAAGGGAUAGCAUUUAAACUAAAAGAAGAGAGAAUUAGAUAAGCUACUAGAAAGGAAUUUUUUCUCUGAGAGUGGCGAGGCACUAGAACAGGCUGACCAGAGAAACUGUGGAUGCCCCAUCCCUGGAAGUGUUCAGUGCCAUGUUAGGAGGGGCCUUAGGCAACCUGGUCUAGUGGGAAGUGUCACUGCCCAUGGCAGGGGCAUUGGAACUAGAUAAUCUUUAAGGUCUCUUCCAACCCAAACCAUUCUAUGAUUCUAACACUCUUUACUUUAGCAACAAGCUUUUUUCCACUUCUAGUGUUUGCAGUGCACAAGUAUGGUUUUCUUAAAAAAAAAGAAUCAAGCUCCAAUAGAGCUUUUUGCCUGCACAUUUCUGACUAAAAGGGCUUGAGAUGAGAGGAAAAGCUUUGACGGAAAAGGAGAAGGGCAAUCUCGUACUGUUCAUUUAGGAGCCCUUAAAACUUUUACCUGGACUUGAAAAUAUAAGUUUUGCACCAAUUUUGGAGAAUUUUUCCCAUUCUGCAUAACUUCCUCCUCCCAAGAAUUUAGAACCUUCAACUUUAAAUUCAAAAUGACAAACACUUAAAGUUUUUAUGCAAUCCUUUUCAAAUGCUAAGAGCUUCAAGGAGCUUCACAAUAUCUAAGUCUGGCCUUAUUUUUCUACUUUAAUUCUAAAUUACCAGGACCUUCUGUAUUCAUCGAUUACUCUUAUUCAUUGCAACUUCAUUAUUUGGUCUUCUCCUGGGAAGGCAUAAUGUCUAGCCCUUGCCUGUUAAGUGCUGGGGAAGAUCAUGGUGCAAAUCCUGGAAGCUAUGCUAAGGCAUAUGAAAGAAAGGGAGGUGAUAUGGGAUAACCAGUAUAGCUUCACUAAGGGCAGGUCCUGCCUGACCAACUUUGUCACGUUUUAUGAUGGUGUAACUGCAUCAGUAGACAAAGAAAGAGCCACUGAUAUAAUCUGUCUGGACUUCAGUAAGGUCUUUGACACAAUCCUCCAUAACAUCCUUCUCCCCAGAGUGGAAAGGCAUGGAUUUGAUUGGUGGAUUGCAUGAUGGAAGAGGAACUGGUUGUGAGAUCAUACUCAGAGAGUGGUGAUCAGUGGCUCAACGUCUGGGUGGAGGUCAAUGACAAGUGGUGUCCCUCAAGUGUCAGUACUGGGACCAGUGCUCUUUAACUUCUUCAUCAAUUAAAUUGACAGUGGGAUUGAGUGCACCUCCAGCAGGUUUCCAGAGGACACCAAAACUUGCGGUGAGGUUGACAUGCCCAUGGGAUGGGAUGCCAUUUAGAAAGACAUAGACAGGAUUGUGCACUGGACCCUGGUGAAUAUCAUGAGGUUCAGUAAAUCCAAGUGGAAGGUCUUGCACCUGGGUCAUGGCAAGCCCUGCUAUCAGUACAAGCUGGGGGAUGUAAGGAUGGAGCACAGCCCUGCUGAAAAGGACUUGGGCAUACUGAUGGUUGGCAAGCUGGACAUGAGCCAGCAAUAUGCCCUUGGAGCCCAGAAAACUGGCCAUAUCCUGGGCUGCAUCAAAAAAAGCAUGGUCAGCAGAUCAAGGGAGGAGAUCCUUCCCCUCUACUCUGCACUGGUGAGACCUCACCUGGGAGCACUGUGUCCAGAUGUGGAGUCCUCAGCACAGGAUAGGUAUGGACCUGUUAGAGCGCAUCCAGAGGAUGGCCACUAAAAUGAUCCAAGGGAUGGAACACCUUCCCUUUGAGGACAGGUUGAGAGAGCUGGGGCUGUUCAGCCUGGAGAAGAGAAAGCUCUGGGGAGAUCUGAUUGUGGCCUUUCAGUAUCUAAUGAUGGAGUACAAGAAGGAAGGGGAUAAACUCUUUAUCAGAGUCUGUUGUGAUAGGACAAGGGGAAACGGUUUCAAACUAAGAGAGAGGGAUUUGGAUUGGAUUUAAGGAAGAAGUUUUUUACAAUAAGGGUGAUGAGGCACUGGAAUGAGUUGUCCAGAAAAGUCAUGGAAGCCCAAUCCUUGGAGACAUUCAAAGUUAGGCUGGACAGGGCUCAGAGCAACCUGAUGUAGCUGUAGAUGUCUGUUCAUUGCAAGGGAGUUGGACUUGAUGAUCUUUUAAAUUUUCACCUCAAAAUAUUGUAUGACUCCAUGAUUCUAAGUCCCCUUUUUUUUUACAGGAAACAAAAAUGAAGCACUGACAAUACUCUGCCAUAAAAAUAAAUAAGCUAUGCUGUAUUUAUCUCCAUCUUAUUCAACAAUAACAUACUGCAAUGUUGGAGGGCAGGUUGCUCGGCAGCACGUAGCUACUGAUUUACUAAUGAUUUACGAUGUAAUCUUAGAUGAAAGGGGUAAGUUAUACCUGCAUGGAAUGUGGUGUUUCUAGUAGAGUUCUGUACUUAACAACAUGUACUGUACACAAAAUUAGCCUGGGUAACGGUAUUGUUCUCUUAUACGCUUGGUCGCAUAGACCCUGUAUCCCUGGAAGCAUAUAUGCUAUAUAAGAUGGUGUGUUGCGACAAUAAAGUUGAAGCCGUGAACUCAUAUUGAGUGUAGAGCUUCCCGCGCCGUGGGGGGUGACCCUGUGGGAAACUUGGGGAGUUUCCCAACACUGCAAGGCUGUUACACUGGAAAACAAAUACCCUAUUCAUAUGGCCUCCUGUCAGUGUAAGUCCUACCUACAGAACUACUCAAUGCAAUUGAGCAGCUGAAAGUGUGCAUCAAAGAGGGAAAUGAAGAUAUCUAAACAGGCAUGUAUAAAAACUGUGGUAUAUGC